UAAGCAUAUCAAUAAGCGGAGGAAAAGAAACCAACAGGGAUUGCCUCAGUAACUGCGAGUGAAGCGGCAAAAGCUCAAAUUUGAAAUCUGGCGUUCAUUUGGAUGUCCGAGUUGUAAUUUGGAGGAGCGCCUUCGGGAAUGGACACCGUCCUAAGUUCUUUUGGAACUGGACAUCAUAGAGGGUGAGAAUCCCGUGCCUGGGCGGCAGUCUGUUCCCAUGCGAAGCGUUUCCGACGAGUCGAGUUGUUUGGGAAUGCAGCUCAAAACGGGUGGUAAAUUUCAUCUAAAGCUAAAUAUUGGCGAGAGACCGAUAGCGCACAAGUAGAGUGAUCGAAAGAUGAAAAGCACUUUGAAAAGAGAGUUAAAAAGUACGUGAAAUUGUUGAAAGGGAAGCGCUUGAGAUUGAACCUGGAAGGGAUGACUUGCAAGGGUGGGAGGCUUCGUGCUUCCUGUCUUUAACAAUUGGCCAUCUCCACUCCAGGCCACCAUCGGUUCUGACGGCGAGAAAAACGGCCAGGGAAUGUGGCUCCCUUCGGGGAGUGUUUAUAGACCUAGCUCAUUUACGCCAGUUGGGACCGAGGAAUAGAGCGAGCUGGGAUUUCGAUCCCAUGACCUCAAGGAUGUGUGGCAUGUUGAUCUUAAGCGACCCGUCU
rnacentral:rRNA from 1 species